rnacentral:rRNA from 1 species
AUUGAACGCUGGCGGAAUGCUUUACACAUGCAAGUCGAACGGCAGCACGGGGGCAGUCCUGGUGGCGAGUGGCGAACGGGUGAGUAAUACAUCGGAACGUGCCCGGUCGUGGGAGAUAACGUAGCGAAAGUUACGCUAAUACCGCAUACGAUCUGAGGAUGAAAGCGGGGGACCUUCGGGCCUCGCGCGAUCGGAGCGGCCGAUGUCAGAUUAGGUAGUUGGUGGGGUAAAGGCCUACCAAGCCGACGAUCUGUAGCUGGUCUGAGAGGACGACCAGCCACACUGGGACUGAGACACGGCCCAGACUCCUACGGGAGGCGGCAGUGGGGAAUUUUGGACAAUGGGCGCAAGCCUGAUCCAGCCAUUCCGCGUGCAGGACGAAGGCCUUCGGGUUGUAAACUGCUUUUGUACGGAACGAAAAGGCUCUGGCUAAUACCUGGGGCUCAUGACGGUACCGUAAGAAUAAGCACCGGCUAACUACGUG